GCAUAGGUGGUUCAGUGGUAAAAUUCUUGCCUCACAUGUAGGAGACCUGGGUUCGAUUCCUGAUCAGUGCA
rnacentral:tRNA from 1 species